rnacentral:rRNA from 1 species
GACACGGUCCAAACUCCUACGGGAGGCAGCAGUGAGGAAUAUUGGUCAAUGGGCGCAAGCCUGAACCAGCCAAGUAGCGUGAAGGAUGACUGCCCUAUGGGUUGUAAACUUCUUUUAUAUGGGAAUAAAGUGAGCCACGUGUGGCUUUUUGUAUGUACCAUACGAAUAAGGAUCGGCUAACUCCGUGCCAGCAGCCGCGGUAAUACGGAGGAUCCGAGCGUUAUCCGGAUUUAUUGGGUUUAAAGGGAGCGUAGAUGGAUGUUUAAGUCAGUUGUGAAAGUUUGCGGCUCAACCGUAAAAUUGCAGUUGAUACUGGAUAUCUUGAGUGCAGUUGAGGCAGGCGGAAUUCGUGGUGUAGCGGUGAAAUGCUUAGAUAUCACGAAGAACUCCGAUUGCGAAGGCAGCCUGCUAAGCUGCAACUGACAUUGAGGCUCGAAAGUGUGGGUAUCAAACAGGAUUAGAUACCCUGGUAGUCCACACGGUAAACGAUGAAUACUCGCUGUUUGCGAUAUACUGCAAGCGGCCAAGCGAAAGCGUUAAGUAUUCCACCUGGGGAGUACGCCGGCAACGGUGAAACUCAAAGGAAUUGACGGGGGCCCGCACAAGCGGAGGAACAUGUGGUUUAAUUCGAUGAUACGCGAGGAACCUUACCCGGGCUUAAAUUGCAGAUGAAUUACGGUGAAAGCCGUAAGCCGCAAGGCAUCUGUGAAGGUGCUGCAUGGUUGUCGUCAGCUCGUGCCGUGAGGUGUCGGCUUAAGUGCCAUAACGAGCGCAACCCUUGUUGUCAGUUACUAACAGGUUCCGCUGAGGACUCUGACAAGACUGCCAUCGUAAGAUGUGAGGAAGGUGGGGAUGACGUCAAAUCAGCACGGCCCUUACGUCCGGGGCUACACACGUGUUACAAUGGGGGGUACAGAGGGCUGCUACCACGCAAGUGGAUGCCAAUCCCAAAAACCUCUCUCAGUUCGGAUUGAAGUCUGCAACCCGACUCCAUGAAGCUGGAUUCGCUAGUAAUCGCGCAUCAGCCACGGCGCGGUGAAUACGUUCCCGGGCCUUGUACACACCGCCCGUCAAGCCAUGGGAGCCGGGGGUACCUGAAGUGCGUAACCGCAAGGAGCGCCCUAGGGUAAAACUGGUGACUGGGGCUAAGUCGUAACAAGGUAGCCGUACCGGAAGGUGCGGCUG